UACGAAGGGGGCUAGCGUUGCUCGGAAUCACUGGGCGUAAAGGGCGCGUAGGCGGGUUCGCAAGUCAGGGGUGAAAUCUUUCAGCUUAACUGGAAAACAGCCCCUGAUACUGCGAGUCUCGAGGGAGGUAGGGGCAUGUGGAACUUCCGGUGGAGCGGUGAAAUGCGUAGAUAUCGGAAGGAACGCCGGGUGGCGAAAGCGACGUGCUGGACCUCUUCUGACGCUGAGGCGCGAAAGCUAGGGGAGCAAACGGG
rnacentral:rRNA from 1 species